UACGUAGGGUGCAAGCGUUAAUCGGAAUUACUGGGCGUAAAGCGUGCGCAGGCGGUUAUGUAAGACAGUUGUGAAAUCCCCGGGCUCAACCUGGGAAUUGCAUCUGUGACUGCAUAGCUAGAGUACGGUAGAGGGGGAUGGAAAUUCCGCGUGUAGCAGUGAAAUGCGUAGAUAUGCGGAGGAACACCGAUGGCGAAGGCAAUCCCCUGGACCUGUACUGACGCUCAUGCACGAAAGCGUGGGGAGCAAACAGG
rnacentral:rRNA from 1 species